UUGACAAAGCAGAUGAUGUUUUAUUACUUGUGGAAUCUGUGAAAAGAUUAAUAUAAACCAAAAACAAUGUUACUUUGAACCACAAAGUGUAAACACCGCUGUCGGUCUUAUGCUGCAAUUUUACAGGGAAUCUGAUUGCACUUAGGUUUCCUAUGUUACCUUUAAGGAUUCGCAGGGAGUAGAGACAACAGUUCUCUUGACCGUACGUUCAUAUAUACACAUGUUAUAUGAGGAAGAGACAGCAGUUUUCUUCCGUCGAGUCCUACAAACCAAAGUAAGGCUGCUGUUAAGAAGGUUGAAGAUGCGAUAAGUACCAUGCUUGCCAAGGGUUUCAUUUUGGGAAAGGAUGCAAUAAACAAAACAAAUCUAACCUACUGAUAGUUGAGGAUGGAAACUACAAUGAAGAUUCUAUGGAGCGUGAUGAAAGGCGUCUCACAGAUUUAGGGCGCAUGAAUAAUUUCCCGUGUUUUUGCCUAGGAAUAAUUUGCCAUGGAGCAAAAAAAUCAAGUUGAAGCAGUGUUUCACAAAACGUCACUUCAUUGGAAGAGCUGAUUG